AGAGUUUGAUCAUGGCUCAGAGCGAACGCUGGCGGCAGGCUUAACACAUGCAAGUCGAGCGGUAACAGGUGUAGCAAUACAUGCUGACGAGCGGCGAACGGGUGAGUAAUGCUUCGGAAUCUUCCUCGUAGUGGGGAAUAACCUGGGGAAACUCAGGCUAAUACCGCAUACGAACUACGGUUGAAAGCAGGGGAUCGCAAGACCUUGCGCUAUGAGAUGAGCCGAAGUCGGAUUAGCUAGUUGGUGGGGUAACGGCCCACCAAGGCGACGAUCCGUAGCUGGUCUGAGAGGACGACCAGCCACACUGGGACUGAGACACGGCCCAGACUCCUACGGGAGGCAGCAGUGGGGAAUAUUGGACAAUGGGCGAAAGCCUGAUCCAGCGACGCCGCGUGUGUGAAGAAGGCCUGCGGGUUGUAAAGCACUUUUAGUGGGGAUGAAAAGCCGAAGGUUAAUACCUUUCGGUCUUGACCUAACCCAAAGAAAAAGCACCGGCUAACUCUGUGCCAGCAGCCGCGGUAAUACAGAGGGUGCAAGCGUUAAUCGGAAUUACUGGGCGUAAAGCGUGCGUAGUCGGUUAUUCAAGUCGGGUGUGAAAGCCCCGGGCUCAACCUGGGAAUUGCAUUCGAUACUGUUUAGCUAGAGUUCGGCAGAGGGAAGUGGAAUUUCGGGUGUAGCGGUGAAAUGCGUAGAUAUCCGAAGGAACAUCAGUGGCGAAAGCGACUUCCUGGACCAGAACUGACGAUCAGGCACGAAAGCGUGGGGAGCAAACAGGAUUAGAUACCCUAGUAGUCC
rnacentral:rRNA from 1 species